GACGAGCGCUGGCGGCGUGCUUAACACAUGCAAGUCGAGCGGUAAGGCCCUUUCGGGGGUACGACGAGCGGCGAACGGGUGAGCAACACGUGGGUGACCUGCCCUCAGCUCUGGGAGUAAGCCUGGGAAACCGGGGUACUAAUACCGGAUAUGACUCCAUGACGCAUGUUGUGGGGUGGAAAGCCUUGUGCGGCUGAGGAUGGGCCCGCGGCCUAUCAGCUUGUUGGUGGGGUGAUGGCCUACCAAGGCGACGACGGGUAGCCGGCCUGAGAGGGCGACCGGCCACACUGGGACUGAGACACGGCCCAGACUCCUACGGGAGGCAGCAGUGGGGAAUCUUGCGCAAUGGGCGAAAGCCUGACGCAGCGACGCCGCGUGAGGGAUGACGGCCU
rnacentral:rRNA from 1 species